rnacentral:rRNA from 1 species
CUGGCGGCGUGCCUAACACAUGCAAGUCGAACGGAGUAAUUUCUUCGGAGGUUACUUAGUGGCGAACGGGCGAGUAACGCGUGAGAAACCUGCCUUUCAGUGGGGGACAACAGUUGGAAACGACUGCUAAUACCGCAUAAUGUUAUUUGGGGGCAUCCCUGAAUAACCAAAGCUUAAUGUGCUGAAAGAUGGUCUCGCGUCUGAUUAGCUAGAUGGCGGGGUAACGGCCCACCAUGGCGACGAUCAGUAGCCGGUCUGAGAGGAUGAACGGCCACAUUGGGACUGAGAUACGGCCCAGACUCCUACGGGAGGCAGCAGUGGGGAAUAUUGGGCAAUGGGGGAAACCCUGACCCAGCAACGCCGCGUGAAGGAAGAAGGCCUUCGGGUUGUAAACUUCUUUUACCAGGGACGAAGAACGUGACGGUACCUGGAGAAAAAGCAACGGCUAACUACGUGCCAGCAGCCGCGGUAAUACGUAGGUUGCAAGCGUUGUCCGGAUUUACUGGGUGUAAAGGGCGUGUAGGCGGAGAUGCAAGUUGGGAGUGAAAUCCCGGGGCUCAACCCCGGAACUGCUUUCAAAACUGCAUCCCUUGAGUAUCGGAGAGGCAAGCGGAAUUCCUAGUGUAGCGGUGAAAUGCGUAGAUAUUAGGAGGAACACCAGUGGCGAAGGCGGCUUGCUGGACGACAACUGACGCUGAGGCGCGAAAGCGUGGGGAGCAAACAGGAUUAGAUACCCUGGUAGUCCACGCUGUAAACGAUGAAUACUAGGUGUGGGAGGACUGACCCCUUCCGUGCCGCAGUUAACACAAUAAGUAUUCCACCUGGGGAGUACGACCGCAAGGUUGAAACUCAAAGGAAUUGACGGGGGCCCGCACAAGCAGUGGAUUAUGUGGUUUAAUUCGACGCAACGCGAAGAACCUUACCCGGGCUCAAACGACUGAGGGAUGACCUUGAAAGGGGUCAGCCGGCAACGGCCUUAGUCGAGGUGCUGCAUGGUUGUCGUCAGCUCGUGCCGUGAGGUGUCGGCUUAAGUGCCAUAACGAGCGCAACCCCUAUCGAUAGUUGCUAACGAGUAAAGUUGAGGACUCUAUCGAGACUGCCGGCGCAAGCUGCGAGGAAGGCGGGGAUGACGUCAAAUCAGCACGGCCCUUACGUCCGGGGCGACACACGUGUUACAAUGGCGGGGACAGCGGGAAGCCACCUAGCGAUAGGGCGCGGAACCCGAAACCCCGUCUCAGUUCGGAUUGGAGUCUGCAACUCGACUCCAUGAAGCUGGAUUCGCUAGUAAUCGCGCAUCAGCCAUGGCGCGGUGAAUACGUUCCCGGGCCUUG